rnacentral:lncRNA from 1 species
AUGAACUUGAACGUCAGAUCGGAGGGACACACCAGCGUAGUCCCUUGAGACUGUUUAUUGGCCUCUGGAGAGAAAUGGAAAUUUAUUUGCCAGGAAGGAUGAUCCCAUUAUACUUCUGCUGGAACCAGAGCAUGGCCGCCUCCUUGCUGAUUCUGUGUUUGGCUCCAAUGCAGCCUGUCCUGUGCUGCUUGUCUGCGAUGCUGAAAUCUGGCUUACCCAGCUCCACGAAGAAGUCCAGGCUGUAGAUACCAGUGCUUGGGUCAUAUUUGGUGCCCAGAUCAAUGUGUUCCUGAAGCCCAAAACCAAAGUUUCCAAUGUUUGAGAAGUUAUUUUUUCUUAACUUGCAUUCUCGCACCUUCAGAACUAUCUCCAAGAUUUCUUCUGCCUUGGCCUCACAGACUGGUGCACGGCAAUCUUCUCAUUUCUCCUGAUGCCAAAGGACCUGAUGGUUUAUCUAGCUUUGGAGAACACCGGGGUCUGGCUAGUGAGCUGCUUCAGCACCUCGGUGGCCCGGGUCAGUCUGUCCGUGCUCUCCCCUACAUAGAUAUUGAGGCAGAGCUUGCAGAUGCACAGUUCCCACAUGGGGUUCUCCUUUUCACCUCGAUCCUGUGCCAUGGGAGGAACAGGAAGUAAUCUCCUCAUAUUAAAGGCCUGUCUGUGGUCCUUAGUAGACCUAGGUAGUGACUUCAUUCUCAUGGAUGUAUCAUGGCUUCUACAUGGAUGCUAGAACUCCUAUGGUUUUGUCCACAUUCCAAGCAGCAGAAAGACAAAAGAGUGAAGGAAGGCAAACGGUGCUUUAUUUAUUCAACGAGUGACUUCCACUGACAUUUCAUGAGCCACUCCUACCUGCCACUCCUACCUGCAAGGAGACUGGGAAACUUAACAUUUAACUUCAG